GGGCCCGCACAAGCGGUGGAGCAUGUGGUUUAAUUCGAUGCAACGCGAAGAACCUUACCUACCCUUGACAUCCUCGGAAUCUGCCGGAGACGGCGGAGUGCCUUCGGGAACCGAGUGACAGGUGCUGCAUGGCUGUCGUCAGCUCGUGUUGUGAAAUGUUGGGUUAAGUCCCGUAACGAGCGCAACCCCUGUCCCUAUUUGCCAGCGAUUCGGUCGGGAACUCUAGGGAGACUGCCGGUGACAAACCGGAGGAAGGUGGGGACGACGUCAAGUCAUCAUGGCCCUUACGGGUAGGGCUACACACGUGCUACAAUGGCAGGUACAAAGGGUUGCAAGACGGCGACGUGGAGCUAAUCCCAUAAAGCCUGCCUCAGUCCGGAUCGGAGUCUGCAACUCGACUCUAUGAAGCUGGAAUCGCUAGUAA
rnacentral:rRNA from 1 species